UACGUAGGAUGCAAGCGUUGUCCGGAAUUAUUGGGCGUAAAGAGCGCGCAGGCGGUUUUACAAGUCAGAUGUGAAAUAUCCGGGCUUAACCCGGAGGGGUCAUUUGAAACUGUAAGACUAGAGUACAGCAGAGGAUAGCGGAAUUCCCGGUGUAGUGGUGAAAUGCGUAGAUAUCGGGAGGAACACCAGUGGCGAAGGCGGCUAUCUGGGCUGAAACUGACGCUGAGGCGCGAAGGCUAGGGGAGCAAACAGG
rnacentral:rRNA from 1 species